rnacentral:rRNA from 1 species
CUGACAUGCAUGCGAGUCGACGGGUUCUGAAACCUGGGAUGCGCAAGGAAGCUGACGAGCGGGAGGCCCUCACGGGCCGCACCGCUGGCCGACCCUGAUCUUCUGUGAAGGGUUCGAGUUGGAGCACGCCUGUCGGGACCCGAAAGAUGGUGAACUACGCCUGAGCGGGGCGAAGCCAGAGGAAACUCUGGUGGAGGCUCGAAGCGAUACUGACGUGCAAAUCGUUCGUCUGACUUGGGUAUAGGGGCGAAAGACUAAUCGAACCAUCUAGUAGCUGG